UCCUUGGUGGUCCAGUGGCUAGGACUCUGUGCUUCCAGUGCAGGGGACCUAGGUUCAAUUCCUGGUCAGAGAA
rfam:TPA: Bos taurus chromosome 3, whole genome shotgun sequence.